rnacentral:rRNA from 1 species
AUUGAACGCUGGCGGAAUGCUUUACACAUGCAAGUCGAGCGGCAGCGCGGGGCAACCUGGCGGCGAGCGGCGAACGGGUGAGUAAUACAUCGGAACGUACCCAGUUGUGGGGGAUAGCCCGGCGAGAGCCGGAUUAAUACCGCAUACGACCUGAGGGUGAAAGGGGGGGAUCGGAAGACCUCACGCAGUUGGAGCGGCCGAUGGCGGGUUAGCUAGUGGGUAGGGAAAAGGCCUACCAAGGCGACGAUCCGUAGCGGGUCUGAGAGGAUGACCCGCCACACUGGAACUGAGACACGGUCCAGACCCCUACGGGAGGCAGCAGUGGGGAAUUUUGGACAAUGGGGGCAACCCUGAUCCAGCCAUUCCGAGUGAGUGAAGAAGGCCUUCGGGUUGUAAAGCUCUUUCGGCAGGAACGAAACGGUCUGUGCUAAUACCAUGGGCUAAUGACGGUACCUGAAGAAGAAGCACCGGCUAACUACGUGCCAGCAGCCGCAGUAA